GACGAACGCUGGCGGCGUGCUUAACACAUGCAAGUCGAACGAAGUGGCGAACGGGUGAGUAACGCGUAAUCAACCUGCCCUUCAGAGGGGUCCAACAGUUGGAAACGACUGCUCAUACCGCAUACUGAAGGAGGGGAUUGCGUCUGAUUAGCUAGUUGGAGGGGUAACGGCCAACCAAGGCGAUGCUCAGUAGCCGGUCGGAGAGGAUGAACGGCAACAUUGGGACUGAGACACGGCCCAGACUCCUACGGGAGGCAGCAGUGGGGAAUCUUCCGAAAUGGACGAAAGUCUGACGGAGCAAAGCCGCGUGAGUGAUGACGGUCUUCGGGUUGUAAAGCUCUGUUAAUCGGGACGCGGUACCGGAAUAGAAAGCAACGGCUAACUACGUGCCAGCAGCCGCGGUAAUUC
rnacentral:rRNA from 1 species